rnacentral:rRNA from 1 species
GUGGGGAAUCUUGCGCAAUGGGCGAAAGCCUGACGCAGCCAUGCCGCGUGAAUGAUGAAGGUCUUAGGAUUGUAAAAUUCUUUCACCGGGGACGAUAAUGACGGUACCCGGAGAAGAAGCUCCGGCUAACUUCGUGCCAGCAGCCGCGGUAAUACGAAGGGGGCUAGCGUUGCUCGGAAUUACUGGGCGUAAAGGGCGCGUAGGCGGACAGCUUAGUCAGAGGUGAAAGCCCAGGGCUCAACCUUGGAAUUGCCUUUGAUACUGGCUGUCUUGAGUUUGGGAGAGGUGAGUGGAACGCCGAGUGUAGAGGUGAAAUUCGUAGAUAUUCGGAAGAACACCAGUGGCGAAGGCGACUCACUGGCCCAAUACUGACGCUGAGGCGCGAAAGCGUGGGGAGCAAACAGGAUUAGAUACCCCUGUAGUCC